UGAAGAGCUUAGUGACUGAGCGGCGGACGGGUGAGUAACGCGUGGGUAACCUGCCUCAUACAGGGGGAUAGCAGCUGGAAACGGCUGGUAAUACCGCAUAAGCGCACAAUGUUGCAUGACAUGGUGUGAAAAACUCUGGUGGUAUAAGAUGGACCCGCGUCUGAUUAGCUAGUUGGUGAGGUAACGGCCCACCAAGGCGACGAUCAGUAGCCGACCUGAGAGGGUGAUCGGCCACAUUGGAACUGAGAGACGGUCCAAACUCC
rnacentral:rRNA from 1 species